AGAUUUAGAAAAAGGAAUAGAACUAGAUGAUAAAGAAAAAGACACAGAUAAGGAUAAAGAAAAAGACGUUUCGAAUAGUUUUACUUCAGCUGCUAUUUUUGUUGAAAAUUGUGUAAAAAUAUUUAGUUUAAAAAUUGAACACCUACAUAACUUAGUACAUAACACUUUACAUAAUAUUUAUAAAGAUAGUAAAAAUAAUACUUAUCAUAAAAAACAAUUGCUUAUGACUGAUGAAGAAGAGUAUUUAUAUAUAAACGAAAUAAAAUUAUUAAAACAUAGUGGUACUAAUUUGGAACAAGAUCCAUAUGAAGACGAUGUGAUCAUAAAAACUAUUCCCCUUCCCAGUUUUUUAUUUAUAGAUAAUAUAAAAAAAAUAAAAAAUAAAAAUAUAGAUGAUACUGCAAAUGCGGCUACGACUGUACUUGCGGCUGCUAGUACAAAUGAAACUGUAGAUUCCAAUAUAUUUAAUUUAUUAGGUAAAGAAGAAGCAAAAAAUGUAACAGUCGAUGAUACUAUGGUAAUAACAAACAAUUUGUUAAAUACCAAACAAGACACAAAUAUAUUAAACUCUAUUGAAAAAGAAACAAGUCCCGAAUUCCAGGCUACUGAUGUAAACACUGUUACUUCAAUCAACUUUGAUAACAUGUAUUUAGAAAACGAUGGUAUACUAUUAUUAAACAUAAACGAUUAUAAUUUAUUUGUUGAUGAACAAAGCGAUUAUGGAAAAACCAAUCCAAGUAGUUCCACUUUAUUUGGAAAGUAUGAUAUGGUAAAUAAAGAACCUACAUAUCAUCUUAUGUCAAAUGUUAUUUCUAAAUAUAUAACUAGUACUGCUAAUAUAGAAGACACAUAUAAAUUUUAUCAUAUUCAUGAUAUAUUAUUUUGUGAAAUAUGUACUGACACAUUUUUAUUUAAACAAAAUAUGUUAGAUUAUGAUUUUGCGUUAGAUAUAAUCACAAAUAAAAAACAAAUGUUAGAUGAUUAUUACAAUGAACAAAAAUAUUUUUAUAUUAUUGAUGAAAAUGCACAUGCAGAUAGUGAUGAGGACAAUGAUGAUACCACUGUUGUGACAGAUAUCAGGGAACUUUAUUUACAUCUACCAUAUUAUUAUAUUAUAAGCUGUUAUACUGUUAAAGAUACUUACAACUUUUUUGAGUAUUUGGACCCGGCGGGUAUGUAUCAUUUUAUACAAAACAAUGUAGUCAAACCGGGUGCAUUAAAAAAUGGAGAGGAAGCAGAUGGUGAGGCAACCAUUGGUGAGGCAUUGACUGAUGACGAACAUGGUGAAUAUGAAACUGUAUCUGGUUCUGUAUCUGGUUCUGUAUCUGGUUCUGUAUCUGGUNNNNNNNNNNGUUCUGUAUCUGGUUCUGUAUCUGGUUCUGUAUCUGGUUCUGUAUCUAGUUCUGCAUCUAGUACAGAAUCUGACGCAGAAUCUGGAUCUACAUCUGGUACUGAAUCGGAAUCUGGAUCUGAAUCUGAGUCUGAAUCUGAGUCUGAAUCUGGGUCUGAAUCUGGGUCUGAAUCUGGGUCCGAAUCUGGGUCUAAAUCUGAGUCUAAAUCUGGGUCUAAAUCUGGGUCUAAAUCUGGGUCUGAAUCCGAAUCAGAAUCCGAAUCCGAAUCCGAAUCCGAAUCUGAAUCCGAAUCUGAAUCCGAAUCUGAAUCCGAAUCUGAAUCCGAAUCUGAAUCCGAAUCUGAAUCCGAAUCCGAAUCUAAGGCAGAAUCUGAGGCAAGAUCCAAAUUCAAAUCUAGCUCCGACAAUAAACCCGAACCAGAUGACGACUCGGAUAACGAUUCUGCUUAUAAUUUUGUGGAAGAAUUCGGUAGCGAGUUUGAGCAAAUGUUUGGAGAAGAAGCAUAUGAUAGCGAUUUUGAUUACAGAAUGUACCCAGAAAAAUUAGCAAAUUAUUUUCAAAAAAAAGGUAAAUUAAAAUGUAGCCACGUUAUACAUAUUAAUGAGUCUGAUUCUGAAAAAACCAAGGCUGAUAUGACCCGUACUACUACAGAACCUGUUACAUCUAAACCACGCUUAUGGAAUGACGAAAAAUUAUUUGGUCAGAUGAAUUUUCCUUAUUUGUUAACGCAAAGAUUAGGCUUAAAUAAAAACUACCAACAUCUAGAACCACUAAUAUGUGACCUGUUGCAUUUAGAUCAAUUAACGAAUAACGCAGAACCUCAUUUGUCUAUACAAUUUGAUGAUGAUUAUGAAAAUUUUGAAAUCUUAAAAGAUGAUGAUGUUUAUUUUGAUGAUGACCAGAAUAUCAAUGAAGAGGAUAUACAAGCCCCUAUACCAAUAAAUACGAUUUUGAAUACCAAAUCACGGAAAGAUGUUAAUAGUAACUCACAUAUUGAUACUUUAGCAAAAAAAAGUUCUAUUGACGCUUUUUUUGAUAAUUUUGAUGACAAUUUUGAUGACAGAAUCAACAACUGGAACAUAUUUUUGGACGAGAGGUUAGAACUUUUAAGAAAACAACCCAAAUACGAUGUAGAUAACUACAAAAAAAGUAUCAUCACUUAUACAAUAAACCAUGGCGAUAAAAUUUUAUUUUCUGAUCUUAUAAAAAAUAAAGAAAGUUAUCAAAUAUGUAGAAACUUUUUAACUACACUUAUGUUAAUAAAUACUAAUACCUUACAAAUAAAAAAAGUGAAUGAGCAUAAUAGUUCUAAUGAUGCAAGUAACUACCAAAUUGUUUUAGCGAAGGACCGAAUGUAUGAAAAUGAAAAAGAUUCUGAACAUGAGACAAACGAAAGUGACUAUAGUGAUAAUGAAGUAAACGAUUCUAAAAAUGACAGCGACAUGACUAAAAAUAAAAAAAGAAAAAACAAAUCUAAGGACGAUUCUAGUAAUUCUGCAAAAAAAAAAAAAAAAGGGGGAUAGGCAAGUUUGAGCAUAUACAUACAUAUAUAAUAUAUAUACAUGCGCGUAUACUCAUUUGCAUGCGUAACAAAAAUGAACUCGUAAAGAAACAAAAAUGGAGUAACAUGUUUUUUGUUUUUUUUUUGUUUUUUUUUGUUUUUUUUUGUUUUUUUUUUUGAAUUUCAUGGGUACAAGUACGAGUACUAGCGUUAGAAAGUUCGCAACUUUCUACGCCACGUUCAUCUCAUGGUAAUUAUAAUCCGUAACUUGGUUUUAAUUAACUUGCACAAGCAUAUGUGUAUGUGUAUGUGUAUGUGUAUGUGUAUGUGUAUGUGUAUGUGUAUGUGUAUGUGUAUGUGUGUGUACAUGUACAUGUACAUGUACAAGCUCUUUUUUUUCUUUUUUUUCUUUCCCUGCAUUUUUCACAUUAACUGGCUGUUUAAAUGGCUUGACCAAAUCGGUUGACGUUUACUUUUUUUUAUUUAUUUUUAAUGUUAUAAAUUUAACAAGUCCUUAAUUAUAAAAAAAAAAUAAUAAAAAAAAAAAAACACGAAACA
rnacentral:lncRNA from 1 species